GUAAAUCCUCCAAUUUAAAACACAACUAGCAUGCAUCCACUUAUCCCUGAUCUCAACAGGACUCUCCACUCCCUUCCGAACACCAACCCCGGUCCAAUUACUCGAUUUCACAAAAUUAUCCCCCACACAACCACCCAUCACAUGAAUCUUCCCAUUCACCACCCCCGCCGCAGCGAAUUCNACCCAUCACAUGAAUCUUCCCAUUCACCACCCCCGCCGCAGCGAAUUCCCUGCAAACUCUCAUUUUAGCCACAAUCUCCCACUUGCCAAACCUACAAUUAAAAACCCAGACAUUAUUCGACGCAAUCUCAUUAACUGCCC
rnacentral:lncRNA from 1 species